CCUACGGGGGGCUGCAGUAGGGAAUCUUCCGCAAUGGACGAAAGUCUGACGGAGCAACGCCGCGUGAGCGAAGAAGGUCUUCGGAUCGUAAAGCUCUGUUGUUAGGGAAGAACAAGUACGGGAGGAAAUGACCGUACCUUGACGGUACCUGACGAGGAAGCCACGGCUAACUACGUGCCAGCAGCCGCGGUAAUACGUAGGUGGCAAGCGUUGUCCGGAAUUAUUGGGCGUAAAGCGCGCGCAGGCGGUCUUUUAGGUCGGAUGUGAGAUCUUGCGGCUCAACCGCAAGCGGUCAUUGGAAGCGGGGGGAGUUGAGUGCAGGAGAGGAAAGAGGAAGUCCACGUGUAGCGGUGGAAUUCUUUGAGCUAGGGCGAGCCAGGAGUGGCGAGGGCGGCUGUUUGGUCUGUAACUGACGCUGAGGCGCGAAAGCGUGGGGUCCCAACGAGAUUAGCGCCCCUUGUAGUC
rnacentral:rRNA from 1 species